rnacentral:rRNA from 1 species
UACGUAGGUGUCAAGCGUUGUCCGGAUUUAUUGGGCUUAAAGGGUGCGUAGGCGGUCUAUUAAGUCAGCGGUGAAAUACUCCAGCUUAACUGGAGGGGUGCCAUUGAUACUGAUGGACUUGAGUCAAGUCGAGGUAGGCGGAAUUGACGGUGUAGCGGUGAAAUGCUUAGAUAUCGGCAAGAACACCUAUAGCGAAGGCAGCUUACUGGGCUGUAACUGACGCUGAGGCACGAAAGUGUGGGGAUCAAACAGG